AUUAAAGAUUUUGGCGGUAUUUUAGUCCUUCAGAGGAACCUGUCCUGUAAUUGAUAAUCCACGAUUUAAUUUACUUGUUUUUUUAGUUUGUAUAUCGUCGUGGGUUGAAUAUUUUAUAAGAAUUAUAAUGUUCAAUAAAUAUAAAUUUAUUUUAUGUCAGAUCAAGGUGCAGCUUAUGAAUAAGAAGAGAUGGGUUACAAUAAAAUUAUUUUUGGUUUAUUAGCUUUAAUGUUUUUAGUAAAUUGGAUUUGAAUGUAAUAUUUUUAAAUUUAUAGAUGUGAUUUUGGCUCUAAAAUAUGCACAUAUUGCCCGUCGCUCUCAUUUAAUAUGAGAUAAGUCGUAACAAAGUAGAUGUACUGGAAAGUGUAUCUAGAAAGAU
rnacentral:rRNA from 1 species